rnacentral:rRNA from 1 species
CGGUAAUACAUAGGGUGCAAGCGUUGUCCGGAAUUAUUGGGCGUAAAGAGCUCGUAGGUGGUUCGUCAAGUCGGNUGUGAAAAUCUGGGGCUUAACCCCAGACAUGCAUUCGAUACGGGYGAGCUWGAGUAUGGUAGGGGARUCUGGAAUUCCUGGUGUAGCGGUGRAAUGCGYAGAUAUCAGGARGAACACCAAUGGCGAAGGCAGGHCUCUGGGCCAUUACUGACRCUCAKGARCGAAAGCCUGGGGAGCGAACAGGAUUAGAUACCCYGGUAGUCCUCGCCGUAAACGRUGGGCACUAGKUGUGGGGGCCUUCCACGGUCUCUGCGUCGCAGCUAACGCAUUAAGUG